rnacentral:rRNA from 1 species
AAAAUGGAGAGUUUGAUCCUGGCUCAGGAUGAACGCUGGCGGUCUGCUUAACACAUGCAAGUCGAACGGGGGUAGCAAUACCCUAGUGGCGGACGGGUGAGUAACGCGUGAGAAUCUGCCUAAAGGACUGGGACAACCACUGGAAACGGUGGCUAAUACCGGAUGUGCCGGAAAGUGAAAGGGGAAACUCGCCUUUAGAGGAGCUCGCGUCUGAUUAGCUAGUUGGUAGGGUAAAAGCCUACCAAGGCGACAAUCAGUAGCUGGUCUGAGAGGAUGACCAGCCACACUGGGACUGAGACACGGCCCAGACUCCUACGGGAGGCAGCAGUGGGGAAUUUUCCG